rnacentral:rRNA from 1 species
UCCUGGCUCAGGAUGAACGCUGGCGGCGUGCCUAAUACAUGCAAGUCGAGCGAGGUUCUUCGGAACCUAGCGGCGGACGGGUGAGUAACACGUGGGUAACCUGCCUGUAAGACCGGGAUAACUUCCGGAAACCGAAGCUAAUACCGGAUACUUUAGAGCAUCGCAUGAUGCUUGAUUGAAAGACGGCUUCGGCUGUCACUUACAGAUGGACCCGCGUCGCAUUAGCUAGUUGGUGAGGUCACGGCUCACCAAGGCGACGAUGCGUAGCCGACCUGAGAGGGUGAUCGGCCACACUGGAACUGAGACACGGCCCAGACUCCUACGGGAGGCAGCAGUAGGGGAUCUUCGGCAAUGGGCGAACGCCUGACCGAGCAACGCCGCGUGAGCGAUGAAGGCCUUCGGGUCGUAAAGCUCUGUUGUUAAGGAAGAACAAGUACGAGAGUAACUGCUCGUACCUUGACGGUACCCAACGAGAAAGCCACGGCUAACUACGUGCCAGCAGCCGCGGUAAUACGUAGGUGGCGAGCGUUAUCCGGAAUUAUUGGGCGUAAAGCGCGCGCAGGCGGUUUCUUAAGUCUGAUGUGAAAGCCCACGGCUCAACCGUGGAGGGUCAUUGGAAACUGGGAAACUUGAGUGCAGAAGAGGAAAGCGGAAUUCCACGUGUAGCGGUGAAAUGCGUAGAGAUGUGGAGGAACACCAGUGGCGAAGGCGGCUUUCUGGUCUGUAACUGACGCUGAGGCGCGAAAGCGUGGGGAGCAAACAGGAUUAGAUACCCUGGUAGUCCACGCCGUAAACGAUGAGUGCUAAGUGUUAGAGGGUUUCCCGCCCUUUAGUGCUGAAGUUAACGCAUUAAGCACUCCGCCUGGGGAGUACGGUCGCAAGACUGAAACUCAAAGGAAUUGACGGGGGC